rnacentral:rRNA from 1 species
UACGGAGGGGGCUAGCGUUGUUCGGAAUUACUGGGCGUAAAGCGCGCGUAGGCGGCUUUGUAAGUUAGAGGUGAAAGCCCGAAGCUCAACUUCGGAAUUGCCUUUAAGACUGCAUCGCUAGAAUCAUGGAGAGGUGAGUGGAAUUCCGAGUGUAGAGGUGAAAUUCGUAGAUAUUCGGAAGAACACCAGUGGCGAAGGCGACUCACUGGACAUGUAUUGACGCUGAGGUGCGAAAAGCGUGGGG